rnacentral:rRNA from 1 species
AUACGAAGGGGGCUAGCGUUGUUCGGAAUUACUGGGCGUAAAGCGCGCGUAGGCGGACUGGUCAGUUAGGGGUGAAAUCCCAGGGCUUAACCCUGGAACUGCCUCUAAUACUGUCAGUCUUGAGUUCGGGAGAGGUGAGUGGAAUUCCUAGUGUAGAGGUGAAAUUCGUAGAUAUUAGGGAGAACACCAGUGGCGAAGGCGGCUCACUGGCCCGAUACUGACGCUGAGGCGCGAAAGCGUGGGGAGCAAACAGGAUUAGAAACCCUAGUAGUCC